rnacentral:rRNA from 1 species
GACGAACGCUGGCGGCGUGCUUAACACAUGCAAGUCGAACGGAAAGGCCCUGCUUUUGUGGGGUGCUCGAGUGGCGAACGGGUGAGUAACACGUGAGUAACCUGCCCUUGACUUUGGGAUAACUUCAGGAAACUGGGGCUAAUACCGGAUAUGAGCUCCUGCUGCAUGGUGUGGGUUGGAAAGUUUCGGCGGUUGGGGAUGGACUCGCGGCUUAUCAGCUUGUUGGUGGGGUAGUGGCUUACCAAGGCUUUGACGGGUAGCCGGCCUGAGAGGGUGACCGGCAACAUUGGGACUGAGAUACGGCGCAGACUCCUACGGGAGGCAGCAGUGGGGAAUAGUGCACAAUGGGAGGAAGCCUGAUGCAGAAACGCGGCGUGCGGGAUGACGGCAUUCGGGUUGUAAACCGCUUUCGAAUGAGACGAAGAGUGAGUGACGGUAAUGGGUAAAGAAGCACCGGCUAACUACGUG